UAGGGAAUCUUCGGCAAUGGACGAAAGUCUGACCGAGCAACGCCGCGUGAGUGAAGAAGGUUUUCGGAUCGUAAAACUCUGUUGUUAGAGAAGAACAAGGACGUUAGUAACUGAACGUCCCCUGACGGUAUCUAACCAGAAAGCCACGGCUAACUACGUGCCAGCAGCCGCGGUAAUACGUAGGUGGCAAGCGUUGUCCGGAUUUAUUGGGCGUAAAGCGAGCGCAGGCGGUUUCUUAAGUCUGAUGUGAAAGCCCCCGGCUCAACCGGGGAGGGUCAUUGGAAACUGGGAGACUGGAGUGCAGAAGAGUAGAGUGGAAUUCCAUGUGUAGCGGUGAAAUGCGUAGAUAUAUGGAGGAACACCAGUGGCGAAGGCGGCUCUCUGGUCUGUAACUGACGCUGAGGCUCGAAAGCGUGGGGAGCAAACAGG
rnacentral:rRNA from 1 species